CCAGCCGAAAAUGUGAGAUAAGUC
rnacentral:miRNA from 1 species